CUUUCCGAUGGAUAUCAGCUGAUCCAACUAUAUCGACUAACACGAUCGUCUGGAGAGUAAUCAAGCCAUCAUCGCGAUGUUGCACACUGAAAUCACUGGGAUUAUAUGAAAGGAAACUUAAGCUGAAGAAAUUUCUUAUCGUUUUGAACGAAGGACACCGGUGAGGAAGUUACUCGACGAAAAGGUGUUCACACCAGUGACUGCAGAUGCCACUAGACUGGACAUUGAGAGCAAUUAUUUAAUUUAGAAAUGCUGCAACAGCUGAGAGCAAGGGGACUGACACCACCAUACUCAAUAGACAACUUUCUAGUGGCACCCAACAUUACCGCUUUAAAAAUUAUUGAUGCUUUCUUAACCAAAAACAAUU